rnacentral:rRNA from 1 species
AACGAACGCUGGCGGCAGGCUUAACACAUGCAAGCCGAGCGCCCCGCAAGGGGAGCGGCAGACGGGUGAGUAACGCGUGGGAAUCUACCCAUCUCUACGGAAUAACGCAUGGAAACGUGUGCUAAUACCGUAUACGUCCUUCGGGAGAAAGAUUUAUCGGAGAUGGAUGAGCCCGCGUUGGAUUAGCUAGUUGGUGGGGUAAAGGCCUACCAAGGCGACGAUCCAUAGCUGGUCUGAGAGGAUGAUCAGCCACACUGGGACUGAGACACGGCCCAGACUCCUACGGGAGGCAGCAGUGGGGAAUAUUGGACAAUGGGCGCAAGCCUGAUCCAGCCAUGCCGCGUGAGUGAUGAAGGCCCUAGGGUUGUAAAGCUCUUUCACCGGUGAAGAUAAUGACGGUAACCGGAGAAGAAGCCCCGGCUGACUUCGUGCCAGCAGCCGCGGUAACAC